CCUACGGGAGGCAGCAGUAGGGAAUCUUCCGCAAUGGACGAAAGUCUGACGGAGCAACGCCGCGUGAACGAUGAAGGCCUUCGGGUCGUAAAGUUCUGUUGUUAGGGAAGAACAAGUGCUAGUUAAAUAAGCUGGCACCUUGACGGUACCUAACCAGAAAGCCACGGCUAACUACGCGCCAGCAGCCGCGGUAAUACGUAGGUGGCAAGCGUUGUCCGGAAUUAUUGGGCGUAAAGCGCGCGCAGGCGGUUUCUUAAGUCUGAUGUGAAAGCCCCCGGCUCAACCGGGGAGGGUCAUUGGAAACUGGGAAACUUGAGUGCAGAAGAGGAAAGUGGAAUUCCAAGUGUAGCGGUGAAAUGCGUAGAGAUUUGGAUGAACACCAGUGGCGAAGGCGACUUUCUGGUCUGUAACUGACGCUGAGGCGCGAAAGCGUGGGGAGCAAACAGGAUUAGAUACCCUGGUAGUCCACGCUGUAAACGAUGAGUGCUAAGUGUUAGAGGGUUUCCGCCUUUAGUGCUGAAGUUAACGCAUUAAGCACUCCGCCUGGGGAUACGGUCGCAAGACUGAAACUCAAAGGAUUGACGGCUGNGAGNGCGAGCGACGACGAGGGAGAGG
rnacentral:rRNA from 1 species